rnacentral:rRNA from 1 species
AUACGAAGGGGGCUAGCGUUGCUCGGAAUCACUGGGCGUAAAGCGCACGUAGGCGGCUUGUUAAGUCAGGGGUGAAAUCCUGGAGCCCAACUCCAGAACUGCCUUUGAUACUGGCGAGCUCGAGUCCGGGAGAGGUGAGUGGAACUCCGAGUGUAGAGGUGAAAUUCGUAGAUAUUCGGAAGAACACCAGUGGCGAAGGCGGCUCACUGGCCCGGUACUGACGCUGAGGUGCGAAAGCGUGGGGAGCAAACA